AAUUAUUUAAAAACACAAGGAAGGGGUUGCAUGCACCGGGGCUUGCCUGGAAUAAACACUACGUUAGUGUUUGUUAGAUGAUGUCCGCUUGACGAGUGCCCCUCGACCGAGCACUUGCUUGAUUUAACCAUCUUCUUGUUGGUCCAUCAACUUCACUAUGCGGAGUAGCCCGUGCUUGGGGUCGACUUGGCUCGUCUUCCGCAUCACACGAUUAAUUAACAUACCUGAAUGAAAUGCACUAUGCACAUGAAUGCAUAUAGACAGGAAUAUCGCAAACCUAAAUAGUGUUCGCGAUAGCGAAUUAAACACCUAGCGGCGAAGCGUUGUACAAGUUUAUAUGGAAAUACUAGUUACCGACGUACGACUAAGCGCAAUAAUCACGGUUUUCUAGAUUAAACGAACCUAACGUAAACAUUACGAACAACACAUUAAACAUAAUCAGCCUAAACACAACUCAUUAGCUAAUUGGCUAAAUGCUAAAUUCAUCCCCCGCUGUAUAAAUUAUACCACCUUGCUUCCCAAGAACCAAUUUAAUUUUAUCAAACAAUUAUAAUUCGUCAAUAGUAAUACUAACAAUAUUAUUGUCUAGACAUUUUAAAAUACUAAAUUUAACCUACGCGUCACCGAAAUACUAUAUUCUACAAAAUAGAACUAGUUCGAAUAUAUUCGGCAACUAAACUCCUCGAAGCAUACCUCGCCUUACUGGUAUUGCUAACUUAAUCGUAUACGCAUACGUAGCGUCUUAUUUUACGAUCAUAAAAUCGAUAGUAAAAAUAGCGAAUCGGCUCACCACAUCACAACUCGAUUUGGUAGUUGCCUGAACGACGACGACAUUCAGCUGAAGUCCUUGAUCGAACAUCUGGCGAGCGUGACUGACGAGCUAGGGCUGAGGCGAAGCUUGAUGACGAGAUCGUGUUAGAAGCGAGCUGGUGAGGUGGGGUUUGAGCAGAGGAUGAUGGGUUCCACGACUCGACGGUAAACGCGAGCACGCGCGAAACUCGAUGGAUGAAAAGCGAACGCACGGAUGGGUCGGGCUGGGACUAGAGGACGACGAAUAUGCAGAGUUUCAAAAUCAUGCGUGCAAGAUGAAAAGACGCGCGGCUAGAGACCUAAGCAUCCGCGGUGGUAAUUUAGACGAAAGCGAACUAGUGGCGACAACUCUCGGCCAGGCAACGAUGCACCGACAUGAGUGUCGUGGGAUGUCAGCACCACAACAGCAGGCGAGCUGCGAAGCGGAAUUAACGGCGGACAAGAACAACCAAUCGGCGAGAGCUAAAUACCGCGCGAUGGGCAUUAGGGACAAGCGCGUGCGGCAGCGACUAUGGUCGACUAGCUAAGCGAGGUCGACGGUGAACGACGUGACGACGAAUGAGGUCGACGAUGUGAUUGGGAAUUAAAGCCGAGCGAACCAAGAGGACACGCUGGCGAGCAGAAAAUAGGACACGACUGCGUGCAGAGGAGAACUCGGCACGACGAAGGACCAUGAAACGCUGCACACGCGACAAGGAAGUAGAAAACUACGACAAGGGAGCUCAGCGCGCAGCGAGCUGAGGAACGAUGGCGAUGUCAUGACCGAGCCGAGAGGAGGUGCAGAACGCUGAGCAGAGCGACGACGGUGACCAGGCGAGAUCCAAACGUGGCGAGAAAACUCUCUGUCGCGUAGAGAAGAACAAGUAGCAGGGAGCAGCGAGGGCACGACGAGCUGCAGCUGAGCGCGGUCGAGCAGAGGAGAGCACCGAGGGAGCUGAGAGCUCCGGCGAGCUGAAAAAAAAUACCGCGCGCGCAAAGCGAGCAGCAAAGCGACGGCGCGCAGGAACGCGACAAGCAGGGGUCGGAGGCGAGCUCGGCACGGCGGCCAUGACCGAGCAGAGAGGGGCUCGCGCGAGGAAGAAGCGCGCGCCAUUGGAGGACUGGAGCCGAGCGCUGACGAGCUGGGAAACACCGAGCUGGAGCUCCACGGCGUGCAGCAAAGGAACCGUGCUUAGCAGAGAGAUGAAGACGCGAGGGAGAGAGAAAAUUUCUGGGCGCAGGGGAACGCGCGGUCGAGCAGGGGCCGGACGCGCGACGCGCAGGAGCAGGGGCUCGCGGCAGGGAGCAGUGCGCAGAGGGCGAGCAAGCAGCCUCAAAGAUGGAUAGCGGCGGGAUGGGCUGGGAAGGAGCACGAGCUCGCGUAGGAGAUGAAUGGUCCUGUUCGGUUGUUCCGGAUUGGAGCCCCGGAUUAAUUCCUAGCCGGAUUACUUCUCUAAUUUAUAUAGAUUUUGAUGAACUGGAAUGAAUCCUGGCUCAUUCCGGUACAACCGAACAUGCCCUAAAGGCUGGGCGGUGGGAUUUCAUUUUCUCAGAGUUGAGCGGCGCAGGAUAACGACGCCGACUGAAAAAAAAUCAGGAGCAGCGGCAGAUAAGGCCAGGCCUGUGAUUGAGCGAGCAUAGACAAUUCGAAGGCUGGAGAAGAUCAAGCAGAAGCUACGUACCAAGAGAUAAGAAGAAGAGCUAAGCUACGUAUGAAGAGAUAAGAAGAGCUUAGACGGUGAAGGAUAAAGAUCUGAGCAGCUUCAAGAAAAUCGCAGGAAGACGGCACCAUGGAAGAUUUUUUUUUAGAUUUUUUUCUGUUUUCAUUUUUUAAGAGAGAAUCGUAGAUAUUUCGGAUCCCGAUUUGGAGUCACAGAUAUUUCAAACGGUUAGAUUAUUAGCGAUGCAUAAUGAGUUGACGGUAUCUGUGAUACAGUUCAAUUUAAUCGAAACCAAAUAGGAUUCAUCUAAAUCUUGUUUAUUUUGACGAAAGAAAUUUCAGACAUCCGGGUUUUAGUAUUAGGAUUUGGGCGUGGUCUAAUUAGUCGGAUCAAAAUUUUACUGGUGACGAUAAAUGAGACAAAUAGGAUUAAACUGAUUCUCGUUCUGAUAAUUUGUUCCGAAACUUUAUUCGUCGAGCACUAAAUAAAUUUAGUCGGGAUAGAAAUCAUCAGAGUGGGUCGGGCUUCCGAAUUCGGAUUCGCGCGAGCGAUGAAUUUUAAAUAAUCACCGGACGCACCGAUUUUCGGAACAAAGAUGUUCCGAAUAUUACGAAAAUUGAGGACAAGCCCGGAUAGAUAAAAAUAAAAACGACGUCGCACUUGCGACAGACGAAAUAGAUGCGAUAUUAAAACCGCGAUAGAUGAAAAUAAUUAGACCUUAGUGUCCGUCUUAUUCACUGAUAUCACGUGCUUAAAUCCGUACUCGUUGUCGAGCGGAAUAUAAACACCUAGGGUGUUACAGCCCUCCCCCCUUAAAAGAAUCUCGUCCCGGGAUUCGGAGCGAAAGACUUUUAAAGAGAAGCAUGUAACCCAUAUCCAUAUCAGCGGUAACAUUAAGACAAUCCGAAGCGAAGGCGAAUGCCUCAGAAUGUGGUUUCUCAAGUGGACAUAACAUAUAUUGCCUUAGGCUAAUUUAGAAAUGUCCACCGUUAGAGAUGAUGUCUGCAAGAGGAACACAUAAGGUUCCAUGUGUGCAGAUUGCUUUUUCUGAUGACAUUGUACUAUCUGAGUCUGUUGAGCGAGCGGUAAAUACUCGAUUUUACCCAAACAAAAUCAGAUGCACCAUCUUGGGUAAAACACACAGAAAGAGGUUUACCAACAAGUGGUUACAGUAAGUUCAUAGCACACGAGACGAGUGUGGAUGUCGAAUAACAUCACAGUGGACCCGUGGCUAGCCAGAAAAUCCAAGUCCCUAAAAGAUGAUAUAGAUUCAAGGGAUCUGUAAAUAAGACUGGGCAUAUUACCCGCUACCCGAUACCCGAACCCGAAAAACCUAGACCCGGACCCGAAAUACCCGAACCCGUGGUACCCGAAGUCUAAUCCGGAUAGUAAAUGCUAUUACCCAAAAUUAGUUUGGGUAUUUCGGGUAGUAGCACCCGGUACCCGAAGUACCCAUAUUAGUACUGCACACUGUGCCGGUCUCCGGUCUGGCCGUCUGGUCAUCUGGUGGAGUGGAGAAGUGGGCCUUGGGCUUGGACUGGACAUGAUCACGUGCACAUGCCAUAUUGCCAUGGCCCAUGAUCUGAUGAUCCCACAAAGUCAACACAGCACGUCCGCACACCAAGCCAAUUAGCCAAGCUGCCAAAGUGCCCAGGCGGUAAGGCGCGACGCUGCAAAACCUAGAAGUAGCUAGCCGCCACCCGCCACCGCAAGACACCUUUCUCCAUUGUUCUAGUUAUCCAGUCCCUCGUCCUCGGUGGCGCGUGGUGGACUGGUGGUGCCCGAGGCAGCGGCCGAGCCAGACGUCGGCUGCUUCUUCAAUCUUCACCAAUCAUCACUCAUCAGGUCGCUGGUUCUUUUCUUGUUCCUUCUUCAAUUAUUCACCACGCUGGUUCACCUAACCCAAGUACCCAACUACCGACCGAUGCCCCUAGCCAGUACCUCCAUCAUUAGGUCACCUAUCACGAGCCGCCGGCGACUAGGGGAUUGAAGGACGGCAGCCACAUCGGAAUCGUCGUGCAAUGUAUGUAUUUCCUAGUCCCAGCCUGGAACCCUAUUCCCCUUACUAUUUUUAGUCUGUGAGUGACAUUGUUCUUGAAUAGGACAAUUUAUUGUUCUUGCAAUGAUUAAUUGAUUAUAGUGUUCAAUUUUGAUUUAUGUAGAUGCCAGAACCAGAGGAUAAUAUUGAGUCACUAGCCAACGGGACUCAAUUUGAAAGUCAGGAGACAACAAUGGUGCAAGUAGAGACUCAAGUGCAAGACAAAACUGACGACAAUAAAAAAAUGGUCAUUAAUGUGGAAGAGAAGGAGAAAGAGAAAGUCGAGAGGAGGGAGAUGGCUUCAAGGUCUGAGAUGUGGCAACAUUUUAUUAAAAUCAAGGAUGACAAAGGGUCUCUAAAGGCUGGAAGGUGCAAAUAUUGCCACCAUGAAAUCAAGGCUGACACAAGGGGGCAUGGAACAUCUGCGUUGAAGAAACACUUUGGUACAUGCAAACGCAAUCCUCAUGUUUUCAACAAGGACUCAAAGCAAGGCACCUUGCAAGCAUGUCAUGGGGAAGCUCCUGCCACUUGGAGGUUUGAUCAAGAAGCACUUAGAGAUGCCUUUGCUGAGAUGGUAAUAGAAGAUGAGCAACCCUUUUGUUUUGGUGAGAAGCCUGGCUUUAGAAAAUUUAUGUCCAAAGCUUGUCCUCGUUUCCAAGUUCCAUCUAGGAGAACUUGCACAAGGGAUAUUGUACGUCAUUACUUUGAAGAGAAAGCCAAGCUCAAGAAGUUGUUCAAAGAUUCUUGUCAGAGAGUGUGCCUGACAACAGAUGCUUGGACUUCUCAGGUUCAAGAUGGAUAUAUGACUGUUACAGCAACUUUCAUUGAUGAAAACUGGAACUUGCACAAGAAAGUGAUAAGUUUUUUCAUGGUAAAAGGUCACAAGGGGGAGGAUAUUGGGAAGAACUUGACAAGAUGCUUAGCUGAUUGGGGUUUGGAUAGAGUAAUGACUAUAACCGUGGAUAACGCAAGUGCGAAUGACAGUGGUGUUGAUUAUUUGAGGAAGCAUCUGCAGAAAACCAACAUUGCCAAGGGCAAGUACUUGCAUAUGAGGUGUGCAGCCCACAUUGUGAAUCUUAUUGUAAGAGAUGGAUUGCAAGAAGUGGACCAAUCUAUUAAGCGUGUUAGGGUUGCUGUUAGAUAUAUAAAAAAUGGGACUUCAAGAUUGGUCAAGUUCAAAGAAAUUGCUCAGGAAGAGAAUGUGGACAGCAAAGCAUUUUUGAAACUUGAUGUGCCAACAAGGUGGAAUUACACAUAUUUGAUGUUGAAGGCUGCAAUUGUUUAUGAGAAAGUGUUUUUAAAAUUAGUUGAAGAUGACACAAAUUAUGUCAUUGAUUUGUCUGAAGUAAGAGAUGGUCCUGGGCAUCCUGAUGAAGAUGAUUGGGAUAAUGCAAAGAAGAUGGCACAAUUUCUACAACACUUCUAUGACCUUACUGUUCGUAUAUCUUCUUCCCUCCAAGUCACUAGUAACGGUUUCUUUCAUGAGAUAGGAGAAAUCCGUAUGUUGAUUCAAGAAUGGUUGAGUAGUGAAGAUAGUUUGCAAGUUUCAAUGGGGAAUAGAAUGAAAGAUAAAUUUGAUAAGUAUUGGGGACUUUGGCACACCAACAGCAAAGAUAAUGAGAAAGGACAUCAACAAGAGCAAGAAAGGGAUAAAGGGCGCAACAAAUGCAAGGGAAAGGAGAAGGAGAAAGAGAACAUCAAUUUGUUGAUAUUUGUGGCUGCCUUACUUGAUCCAAGGUACAAGUUAUCUUUGUACACAAAGAUUAGUGUUGAAGAGAUAUUUGGUGAGGAAUCAGGUAAAUUGGUUUGGGAAGCAAUUAAUACUUCUGUGACAGAGCUUUUUGAAGAAUAUAAGACCAUGUAUGCUCCAAAUGAAGAAGUUGUUCAAGUGGUUGAUGUUGAUAAAUCUAAGAGAGUAUCACGACGAAUGCUUAAAGAAAAAAUUGCCAAGAAGAUGAAAUUAAACAAUUGUUCUACUAGCACCAACAAAUCUGAACUUGAGAAAUAUCUCUCUGAAGAAACAGAAGACCCAGAGUCAAAAAUAGAUAUUCUUGCUUGGUGGAAAGUCAAUUCAAAUAGGUUUCCAGUUUUGGGUCACAUGGCUCGUGACGUGCUUGCUAUACCCAUCACAACAGUAGCGUCAGAGUCAGCUUUUAGCACAGGUGGACGUAUUUUGGAUGACUUUCGUACCUCUCUUACUCCGUUCAUGUUAGAGGCUUUAGUAUGCACACAAGAUUGGCUUCGAAGACCUACUGUUGACAUAAAAGAGAGUACGGAGGAAUUGGCAAUAAUAGAAAAGGGUAUCAUAUUUCCUUCCUUGAUUAGUUGAUUGCAUUUGUGAAUCAAAGGAAUGUAAUAUUAAAUAUGUAUCUAUGCUAUGCAUUUGCAGAGUGGAUAGAAGAAUAUGGUGGCAAAGGAAAAAAGAAUGAGCAGCCAACUGUGACUGUCGGCAUAUCCAAGUCACAAACACCAAGCAGUAAUGUUCAGACCUCGACUAUGGCUCCACACAGUACUUGAAGGUAUGUGAUGUCAAGUGUAAUUGGAGUUUUUAGCAUGUUUUCAAUUAUGCUAGUGUUGUUGUGUCCAGAUUUGAUCCAUUAAUCUUUAUUGGACAGUUUAGACUAUGGCCGACUGAAGGUCUACAACUAGGUUGCUGCCACCUGGAGAACAACUUGUGGAUCUGUGUUUUUGUGACUGUUUCACUGGAAUGUCUGAAUGUGUAAUGUGUUCACGGUAUCUUCAUGUAAUCAUGUUAGCACCUGUUAAGUACUCAAGUUGUUAGCACCUAUCAGUGAUUAUUGUAGCAAGUUGAGACAUCAGGGCCAGUGGCUCAACACCUGUUUCUGUGAUAUCUCGUAAGGUUUUCACUGUGUUCACUGUAUCAGCAGAUCAACCAAUUUGUCAUCAGAAACCAAGCCAACCUGUGGAGAAGGAAACAAUGUAUUGCUUGGUGCUGUCAGGUAAACUUCAAAUGAAGAAUUCAAGAUUGAAUUAUAAUGUUUCCUGUUGUGACUCUGCUUUUUCUUCUAUACAUGUUAGAACCCUUUAUAUAAUCUUAAAUGCAUUCCUAGCAGUUAUUCUGAAAAGUUAAGACUGUUUGUUUCACUAAAUGAAUGUCAAAAUAGUCACGCAGUGGAUGGCUGGAUGCAAUGCAGUGGAAGCAUCCUUGAAACAGAGAGUACCACUUGAGAAUCCUUGCGGUUGGCAGGCAUCUUUGACUGGAUACAAUUCCUUGGGUCAGGAGGACGUCAGGUCAUCAGUCUUCGCCCAUGUGGAUUUUAGCUAGGCUUCCAGGAAAUGCAUGAGAUAUCCUCACAAAAGAAUAACCGGAAAUGUGUGAUACAAUUCAUGUGAUCUUUUCGUGCCAGGACUGAUCAAGAUUGGGUGUCUGGACUAUAAAUUCGACUAGAAAAAUUCAGACAAGAGACAAGCUGUGCUUUUAUAUAUUUCGGGUAAACUGGGUAUACCUGAACCCGAACCCGAACUUGCGGGUACCCGAACUUGCGGGUAGCGUUUUUUCUUGGCUGCUAUCGGGUACCAAUUUCCAUUACCCGAAUUUAAUAAAACCCGAACUACCCGACCCGAAUUAAACGGGUAACCCGAACGCCCAGUCUUAUCUGUAAAUACAGACUUUGCAACUAGUCCAUUUUGUCCAGCACUAAUCAUGGCUCGACUUGAUCACACAUGCUGGAAAAGCAAACGUGAGGCGAUCAAGGCACGACUAGAGCGAUGAUUAGAUGGCUACUGACCGACUUAAUCUCGAUUCUUAUAAAUACUUCCUUAGGAUGGGUUGAAUCAAAGUGAGUUCAGACAACUUGAUAAAACGAUCUCUAAACUCAAUCUUUGAUCACAAUGUAGUUACAAGUUAAUAAAACCAACUUGUUGAACUACUUUCGACAUUGAGUAAGUCCUCUCAGUACCAUCGGUAAGCCAACGGUCGAGAGCUCACAUUCGCUAACAAAAGGUCAUGCAUUUGGGUAGAAAUCCAUUUGGUCAGGUUGUUCAUCCGUUUCUUCAUGCGAGAUGAACUGACUUGCUGAGGUAAUACAUGGAUUAAAUAAGGGGGCGAAUGAACAAACUCCUGCAUCUCAGCAGCAGGGGAAACAGAUCUCCAUUUUGAGAGCUAACCAGCUGUUUUUCAACACUAAAAAGCUCCAAGACUUCACCUUUACACCAAGGAUGCAAAGGGAACUUGUAUGAGUAGUCACUACCAAGAUCAAAAGAAAAGCGACCACACAUGAAAGUGGUAUGCCCUUUUGAUCCAAUAGAGAUGAUAGAUGUUGCUUGAUCAUUUGACAAACAACAUAGAAAUUGUUUCAAGGAAGGUCCACGGAAAAUAACAUAUCAGUGUGGUUCCAUAAUGGAUCAUGACUAGAGACCUCGAUACCAGCAUGCGCCAAACAGCAUAACCUUGCGUGUACAUUCACAAGGAGCUCUCAGUUUCGCUGCGGCACCAUAAGUCAUUAACCAUGACACCAUUACCGAACUGGCACCAAUAAUGAAUUUCACAUAGCAAAAACAGAUUGUGCGAAGAUAACACAUUGAUAUAGUCUCAUAAUGGAUUACAACUACUAACCAUGAUACCAGCGCGUGUCGAGCAGCACAACCAUGUGUGUACAUUCACAGGAGGCCCUUGAUUUUGUCGCGGCACCAUCGAUUUUAGUCAUAACACCAUUACCAGACAUGACCAAUAAGAAAUCUCGUGCCCACCAAUAGAUUGAGCAAGGGUGACAAUAUACAAAGAGAUACUCCACCUAUAAGAAUGGUUACAAGUAGAGAGCCAAAUAGAUCAUGGUCUGAUGAAAUAAACAAGGCAUGGCCAUAACCUAAAUUGAUGAAAGGAGUACGGUGGGAGACUGUUACUUCAGCUUCAGGCAUAUUUCUAUGCCCAUUGCAGCAAUUUCAAGGUCAAGGAUUAGUAUCUGGUUAGAUAUAGAGGGAAAACAAUUAGAAAAUUAAGUUGGUAUGCCUUCGAUAAGUAUGGGGAAACCAAAGGCAUCAAACUUAAGAAAAUGAUCGGACAUGUCUUUUCUAUGUUGGGUUGAUAAGGUAACAUGGCGAUCCUUAAGAACAGGCAAACUGGAUAAGGUACAUUAGCUUGCACCAACCGAACAAGGGAAUGGUUUUGGUUGGAAACAUGACUUGAGAUUCUUGUUUUAAGCUUGGGUACACUUUAUGUCCAAUAAGGAAAUUGUCUACGCAUUUAUUUGCAUGGGCUUGGUCAGGGAGUGAUAAUGGAAAAUUCAAUUUUAGGUCAUGGUUACCUAAAUAAAAACAUAGCCUAGUUUUGGGUCUAGGCAACAAGUUACCAACUCUUUGUUGGCACAUCAACACAAGAGCACACAUAAAGCACCCUAAGAGGUCACCUAAAGAAUGGAGGACAUCUAUUUCAUCAAAGUUCAUAAUUCAGCAUUACACCAUAUUAUCUACAAUCAAUGGUUACUGGAAUAAAGAUGAGAGAAGCAUUUUGGGUGUAUAGGUGGCAAACAUGAUGCAACAAUCAGGAUGUAUGCUCGUCCUAUUCAUCCUUACUGAUUUUGCCAACAUAAUAUGGCAAUAACGUUCUAUAUCGGUGGCAUACUUACGACUCUCACGAUAUUUUACUAGUCGUCAGCUACACAUAUGUUUUCGAGGUUAGUGUACCUGCAGAAAAUUCCAUCACAGCCCAAUUUUCCCAAUGAUGCAAGAUCCACACAUGACAGUUUAUCACAGUUUAUACUCCAUAUAUUGCUAUAUGGAGGCCAGCUCAUCAUUAAGCACCGAGCCACGCAUAGGCGCCGUUGCCACACUUUAACCAUAGGGCAACUCAUUAUGGUAACUCACCUUCUUACCUGAGCGUAGGUGCAUCAUUACAAAUAAAUUACACUUCUCAGUAGUCCCAUGUAUGUAUACCCAUACACAUCCAUGUGGUACCGAAUUCCCAGAAAAGUAAAUACUCCACAUCACAGCCUUCAUAUAUACAUAUGUGUAACAUGUAUAUAAUCAAGCGCUUUUUAUGCUCUUCCCUAGACCGACGUUUGUUCGGUCAUGCUCUCAUAUAUCACCUUACCUUGAUCGUCGAUCCAUUCAAAACUGAAUGGCCUCAAAAAUAACAAUACACAUGUAUGCAAUACCCACCCGGUUGUAGGUUAGUGGUUUGAACUAAGCCACCUGAUAAUCCUUAAUUUAGGGCUUAAUAGAGGAUCUCGCUAGCAUUAUAGUUUUUCAAAGCUGUUUUUCAAAGCCAAACAAUGUUUUAGUUGAAAAUAGGUUUUCUAAAACCAAAACUUUUGUUUUAAAAAUAUGUAUGUGACUGUAUAUACUUAAUCCUGCUCCGAUACCAGCUGUGGCAGAACCUCCCAAGUUAUUGGGCCCACAUGCACCUGUCCUUGUCUCAAAGACCUCAGACGGCCAUGCAUGUGCACCAGAUAACUCAAUAGGAUCUGUCCGAUUGCCCCAAGGACAUCGGAUAAACCACUUUCAACCAGAACCGCGGGAUUAAGUAACACAAAUCACACACACCAAUAUUUUUGCAGCAGAAAUCUUAUUACCAAAUUUUACAAGUUACAAAAUUUUUAUAUUAUUUUAUCGGAGUGAUUACAAAAGUAUAAGUUUGAAAUAUAUGCUAGCUCAACUGACCAUCCUCAGUAAGAAGAUAAAGACGGGGUAUACUUCUAUAAGAAGGUCGAGCCCACCGGCACUUAGCACCAUUCACAGCAGCACAAAACUAUAACCUGAAAAACAACAGGGAAUAAAACCCUGAGUAUGGAAUUACUCAGCAAGACUUACCUGACUAAAGAAAAGACUUUCAAGGGUAUGCUGGAUUUGGGAAUCAAGGAGAGGCUUUAGCAAGAAUCAACUUGAUACUUUUGCAGAAAUAGCUUACUAAAGUGAAUCCUUACUUUCAAUGUUUUAACGCCAGAUUAAAUAUUAAUAGACUCUGUUUGCAUCUAGUCUAAUUUCACCAUCUCAUCCAUACAACAUCAUUUUUAUUCAUAAUGUUCACAUCCUAACUUAGGUUGCAGGGCAGCGAUCAAGUCUCCACUCUCCGGGGAUAUAACGGCGAUCCGAAUCGAUUUACUCAGCUGAGGAUCUCUAACCACACGACAUAUGUUUCUCGUAAACCUUGCAUGUCUACCAUUCCCACGGAUCCUCCACUGCAUGAACAGGUCCGCGCCACCCGAGAGCACACCACCCCUUUUAGGCGGUCCUUUGCCAGGAGGGUACGUGCCACUCUCGCCAUCUCUCCACUCCCAGUGCGCGAUUGUCUUUUCAUGUAUGGAAUAGCCGGGUUCAAGCUUACCCUGUCCCAUUUCCAGGGCAUGUGGCUAGUUAAGAUAGUCCUUGAUCAACAGGCCUACAUACGCAUCCAAUCCUUAAUUAACCUGGGUGGAGCAUCACCUGUUCCUAACCCAAGUCUCGAGUUAAGUACUUCCAUCCUUAGGAUUGUUUAUGUUCCUAGGAUGAAAAGAGCAUCACAGGGAACUUUGCAGUAAGAUCCCACCACGCUCUCAAUGAAAAUAUUCUUGUAGGUAGAAGCCAUCUUUCCUCAGGAUAACCUCUGAGCUAGGCCUUAAUGCAAAAGACAACCUCUAUCCACAAGAUCUGAGCAGGGCUAAGCAUUUUUGUAAAUCAGAUUUUGAUACUUCACCAGAAGUAUCUAUAAAUGUAUGGAUAUCAAGGAAGGCAAUGCAUCAAAGGGUUCCAAGCAACUCCUAUAAACCUAAUGCACAUUUCACUAGACUUAAAGUGUGCCAAAAUUAUUUAAAAACACAAGGAAGGGGUUGCAUGCACCGGGGCUUGCCUGGAAUAAACACUACGUUAGUGUUUGUUAGAUGAUGUCCGCUUGACGAGUACCCCUCGACCGAGCACUUGCUUGAUUUAACCAUCUUCUUGUUGGUCCAUCAACUUCACUAUGCGGAGUAGCCCGUGCUUGGGGUCGACUUGGCUCGUCUUUCACAUCACACGAUUAAUUAACAUACCUGAAUGAAAUGCACUAUGCACAUGAAUGCAUAUAGACAGGAAUAUCGCAAACCUAAAUAGUGUUCGCGAUAGCGAAUUAAACACCUAGCGGCGAGGUGUUGUACAAGUUUAUAUGGAAAUACUAGUUACCGACGUACGACUAAGCGCAAUAAUCACGGUUUUCUAGAUUAAACGAACCUAACGUAAACAUUACGAACAACACAUUAAACAUAAUCAGCCUAAACACAACUCAUUAGCUAAUUGGCUAAAUGCUAAAUUCAUCCCCCGCUGUAUAAAUUAUACCACCUUGCUUCCCAAGAACCAAUUUAAUUUUAUCAAACAAUUAUAAUUCGUCAAUAGUAAUACUAACAAUAUUAUUGUCUAGACAUUUUAAAAUACUAAAUUUAACCUACGCGUCACCGAAAUACUAUAUUCUACAAAAUAGAACUAGUUCGAAUAUAUUCGGCAACUAAACUCCUCGAAGCAUACCUCGCCUUACUAGUAUUGCUAACUUAAUCGUAUACGCAUACGUAGCGUCUUAUUUUACGAUCAUAAAAUCGAUAGUAAAAAUAGUGAAUCGGCUCACCACAUCACAACUCGAUUUGGUAGUUGCCUGAACGACGACGACCUUCAGCUGAAGUCCUUGAUCAAACAUCUGGCGAGCGUGACUGACGAGCUAGGGCUGAGGCGAAGCUUGAUGACGAGAUCGUGUUAGAAGCGAGCUGGUGAGGUAGGGUUUGAGCAGAGGAUGAUGGGUUCCACGACUCGACGGUAAACGCGAGCACGCGCGAAACUCGAUGGAUGAAGAGCGAACGCACGGAUGGGUCGGGCUGGGACCAGAGGACGACGAAUAUGCAGAGCUUCAAAAUCACGCGUGCAAGAUGAAAAGACGCGCGGCCAGAGACCUAAGCAUCCGCGGUGGUAAUUUAGACGAAAGCGAACUAGUGACGACAACUCUCGGCC
rnacentral:lncRNA from 1 species